rnacentral:rRNA from 1 species
GACAAACGCUGGCGGCAUGCCUAACACAUGCAAGUCGAACGGACAGAACAGGGAAGCUUUUCGGAGUGGAACUGGAAAGUUAGUGGCGGAUGGGUGAGUAACGCGUGGACAACCUACCUUGUAAAGGGGAAUAACCUCGAGAAAUCGAAGCUAAUACCCCAUAAUAACCUUGCUUCGCAUGAAGUAAGGAGGAAAGGCGGCCUUAGCGCUGUCGAUACAAGAUGGGUCCGCGUCUGAUUGGCUAGUUGGUGAGGUAAAGGCUCACCAAGGCGACGAUCAGUAGCCGGCCUGAGAGGGUGAACGGCCACAUUGGGACUGAGACACGGCCCAAACUCCUACGGGAGGCAGCAGUGGGGAAUCUUCCGCAAUGGGCGAAAGCCUGACGGAGCAAUGCCGCGUGAGUGAAGAAGGCCUUCGGGUUGUAAAACUCUGUCCUUAUCGAAGAGAGAGUGUUGUAGUAACUGACAAUACUAGGACGGUAGAUGAGGAGGAAGCCCCGGCUAACUAUGUG